rnacentral:rRNA from 1 species
UACGAAGGGGGCUAGCGUUGCUCGGAAUCACUGGGCGUAAAGCGCACGUAGGCGGCUUUCUAAGUCAGGGGUGAAAUCCUGGAGCUCAACUCCAGAACUGCCUUUGAUACUGGAGAGCUAGAGUCCGGAAGAGGUGAGUGGAACUGCGAGUGUAGCGGUGAAAUGCGUAGAUAUCUGGAGGAACACCGGUGGCGAAGGCGGCAUCCUGGACCGGUAUUGACGCUGAGGCGCGAAAGCUAGGGUAGCAAACGGG